rnacentral:sRNA from 1 species
CCGAUUCAAACUCCGCCUGCGAAACGUCC